CAGAACACAGGUCCUCUGCAAGAGCAGCAACACUCUUAACAGCCAAGUCAUCUCUCCAACCCUGCAUUUCCAAGUGUUUCCAAGAGCUGCAGUUCCAUGUUUCUUGAUUCCGCAUGGUUGGGGAUUGACAAAUCACUGAAGAAUCUAUAGAAAUGGAUCCAAAAUGCUCUAUGAAAUAUUUCCAGAAGCACAUUGAAUACUUUUGCAUGUGCUUAAAAGAAGAACUGUUAGGCCAUCUAAUAAUUCAAUCGUAAGCCUUUGAAGAUCUUCCACACUGCUUUCCUGUCAUUGCAAUCCCCACCAGCAAUGUACACGGUUUCUAAUUUGUCUGCAUCCCCUGCAAAACUCAUUAUUACCGUU